rnacentral:misc_RNA from 1 species
CUCGCCCCGAUAAGGCUGAGGAGAGACCUACAACAACACGUCAACUCUUGGCUCCUGUCCCACGAAAAGGGGCAUACUACUAUUUUUAUUUUUGCAUCGGAUUCACGUUCCUUCGGGAGUCGUCCACUCUGCGACAGAAACUAUCGACCAGCCUUGUGCGACGACCGUGCAUUAACUUAAUGAAAUGACGUCGACGUCUUAUUUCUCUACAACGGAAUAGAUUUUUAUCCAUCAAUCCAUCGCGGAGUCUCAAGAUUGUGCGGCGUUCAAGCGAGGUUGAAGAAGAAAGAAACACCAGUUCAGUCGUCGCUCUUAUAUUCUAGGGAUUUUUAUACCUUCAGACGAGAAAAGACUGACGUUUGAUCUACCCGCAGCGUGUGUGUUUUUGUGCAUGGAUAAUUGCAGAUUCCUAUCGGGGUCGUGGAUUUUAUGCUGAGAACAGAUCUGAACCUAUAAUACACUGACUCGGAGUAUAGCCACCUAUGGACGCCACCCCUGCCUGCCCCUGCACAUCCAGGAACUUCAUACAGGCAGGCGAGCGUUCUGACUACUGAACCACUGUUAGGCGUUGCAGGCAGCCUAAUAUUGAUCUGUUGUGUCUGCUGAGAGUUCAUGCUGUGUGGCCCGUCUCUGCUGCUGCUGUUAUUGCAGUUGCCGGGGUUGCUGUUUAUAAUAUGGUGGCUCUUCUCGUUGGCUUGUUGUGAGUAUUCCUUACGUUGUGUUUUUGCCAUGAUCCCGUUCAUUCUUGUAAGUAUUAUCAUCAUCAUCAUCAGCAGCAGCAGCAGCAGCAGCAGCAGCAGCAGCAGUAACAGCAACAGGAGCAGCAGCAGCUGUAUUAUCAACGCCAUCAUCGUUAUUAUCGUAGCCGUUAUAAGUGUAAGCCUUCAUAGUUACAAGAUUAGCUUUUCUGUAAUAACUCCUGUUGUAAUGUUUAGAAAAGUUCAUUUCCGAAAAAGAAAAUAAUUACCGUCAAUUUGAAUAUAAAACACGUCGACAACGUCUCCACCCUUGAUAAGUGGUUUGCUCUUGAUUUGUAAGCAAAAAUACUUGGAAAAGGAAACAACUGUUGGCAGAAGAAUUCGAGGUGUUGUUUCAAACUCAAACCAAAAAAUGGAACUCUUUUCCAAUAAAUUUUAUUUUAAACAAAUAAAUAAUGGGGUUUGGUUUAUUUUAAUGGCAGAGCCUAAGGUGAAAGCUAGCUGAAAGCCUGAAACGUAUUGUAAUACGCCAGCGCCACUUCUUGAAGUUGAAACCAAACAUAAUAAGACAGCAGUCUCAAAAACCAACAUCUUACAGCAUUGAUCCAUCUCAACGUGGCGCAGACUCUACACUACAGGGCUGUACAGACCCAAGAUCCGAUACUUAAACCCCACUCUAACCCCCAAAGGAGCGGAACGGGAAUAAAUAAUGCACAGCAAAAACGUCUCGAAUAUAAAUUUUAGCGGGAAACAGGCCCACCGAGCCUGGAGAAGUGAAUCACCCGGCUCCCAGCCCAGCCCUGGCCGUCCACAGCUGGUGCGAGGGAUAAAUGCGCUUACUGCAAUAGGGUAAACACUCGCUUCAGGUUUUCAAAAGCGCUGGCUUGAUCCGGAUUAGGUCUGUAAAGUUUCUGAGAGGAGAAAAGCCACUAGAGCCUGUAGGCAGCCGUACGAGCAAGGAUUAGCGCUGCACUCUGUAGUUUUGGAUAACGAGUCAAUAAGAAAUGUAAAUGUCGUGCAUUGAUCUUCUAUUUUUAGUUUUGAUGUGCAGUCGGCCCAUGCAUUUAUGAGUAUUAAACGUCCCUCCUGUUGUUAAGCGUAAAUUCUGAGGUCGUGUGCGCUACAAACAGCAGCUUCUGUCAGUCAUUCUGCUUCCCGUACACCAUUUCACAAACAUGGAUGUCCUCCUAGACAGUCCUGAUCAGGCAAAUGCCCUCUCUCUAAAAACCAACAAAGACAACAACAACAUCUAUUUUUUUUAAAAACAACAACAACAGUAACAGUAACAACAACAACAAAAACAUCAACAACAGUAGUAGCCGCAACAACAACGAUGACGAUGACGACGACGACUACAGAAAAAAAAACACUGCUAGUACUUCAACUAGAUAUUCCAUACCUAUAAAAAACUUGUCGACUUUGGCUUUUUAAAAUGACAACAAAAAACAAAUGAAAAGACAGGUUACAGAUACUUGCUACGAAUCUCGGUAACGACAGUUGUUAAAAUAAAGAUGCAUUCAUGACUUUUUUUCUUCUUUUUUUUUUGGGGGGGGGGGCUCUCAAUUUUCUAGCCCAUGGCAACAAUAGGCUCUUUAUGUGUAAAGUAAUCCGGGACGAAUGUUGCUUAAGAUUUAACAUAAGUGUGGGGAAAAUAUAUCUUCCAUGUUUAUUACCAUACCCUUAGAGCGCGCUCAUAUGGCCUUAGCAGUUGCGAGCGCCGUAAAACCUUAUACUAUACUAUACUACUAUACCCUUAGAGCUUAGGUAAGGGAUUUUUAUUGAAAACAGAAA